GGCUCAGUGGCGGAACUGGUAUACGCACAACACUUAAAAUGUUGCGUCCUAUGGGCAUGUGGGUUCGACUCCCACCUGAGCCA
rfam:Candidatus Falkowbacteria bacterium RIFCSPLOWO2_02_FTLL_45_21 rifcsplowo2_02_scaffold_6313, whole genome shotgun sequence.